GGGCGCGUAGCUCAGUGGGAGAGCACUACGUUGACAUCGUAGGGGUCACAGGUUCAAAUCCUGUCGCGCCCACCA
rnacentral:tRNA from 1 species